UACGUAGGGUGCAAGCGUUGUCCGGAAUUAUUGGGCGUAAAGAGCUCGUAGGCGGUUUGUCGCGUCUGCUGUGAAAACGCGAGGCUCAACCUCGCGCCUGCAGUGGGUACGGGCAGACUGGAGUGCGGUAGGGGAGAUUGGAAUUCCUGGUGUAGCGGUGGAAUGCGCAGAUAUCAGGAGGAACACCGAUGGCGAAGGCAGAUCUCUGGGCCGUAACUGACGCUGAGGAGCGAAAGCAUGGGGAGCGAACAGG
rnacentral:rRNA from 1 species